CGGGGGGUGCAAGCGUUAUUCGGAAUCACUGGGCGUAAAGAGCGCGUAGGCGGGGUUUCUUAAGUCAGAUGUGAAAGCCCGGGGGCUUAACCCCCGGAAGUGCAUCUGAAACGGAGGGACUUGAGUAUGGGAGAGGGAAGUGGAAUUCCUGGUGUAGCGGUGAAAUGCGUAGAUAUCAGGAGGAACACCGGUGGCGAUGGCGACUUCCUGGACCAAUACUGACGCUGAGGCGCGAAGGCGUGGGGAGCAAACAGGAUUAGAUACCCUGGUAGUCCACGCAGUAAACGUUGAACACUAGGUGUAGCGGGUAUUGACCCCUGCUGUGCCGCAGCUAACGCAUUAAGUGUUCCGCCUGGGGAGUACGGCCGCAAGGCUA
rnacentral:rRNA from 1 species